rnacentral:rRNA from 1 species
UGGGGGAUAUUGCACAAUGGGCGAAAGCCUGAUGCAGCGACGCCGCGUGGGGGAUGAAGGCCUUCGGGUUGUAAACUUCUUUUGCUCUGAACAAGGCAUGCUAAUGGGUGUGUUGAGUGUAGGGGUUGAUUAGCGCCGGCUAACUACGUGCCAGCAGCCGCGGUAAUACGUAGGGCGCGAGCGUUGUCCGGAAUUAUUGGGCGUAAAGGGCUUGUAGGUGGCUGGUUGCGUCGGUCGUGAAAGCUCAUGGCUUAACUGUGGGUUUGCGGUGGGUACGGGCUGGCUUGAGUGCAGUAGGGGAGGCUGGAAUUCCUGGUGUAGCGGUGGAAUGCGCAGAUAUCAGGAGGAAUACCGGUGGCGAAGGCGGGUCUCUGGGCUGUUACUGACACUGAGGAGCGAAAGCAUGGGGAGCGAACAGG